GACAGAGGUGGCUAGCGUUGUUCGGAUUUACUGGGUGUAAAGGGUACGUAGGCGGUUCGGAAAGUUGGAUGUGAAAUCCUGUGGCUUAACCACAGAAUGGCAUCCAAAACUACCGGGCUAGAGUGUGGGAGAGGAAGAUGGAAUUCCCGGUGUAAGGGUGAAAUCUGUAGAUAUCGGGAGGAACACCAGUGGCGAAGGCGAUCUUCUGGCCCAUUACUGACGCUCAGUGUACGAAAGCAGGGGGAGCAAACGGG
rnacentral:rRNA from 1 species